rnacentral:lncRNA from 7 species
UCACUAAGCAGGUCAAUGUGAAGUAUUCAUACAUUAUUACAAGGCAGCUUCAAAUCCAUCACAACAAGAGAACGUGUGGCAUAUAAAGAGAAGAAUGGAAAAACUGCAUGAUGUUUCCAAGGUCAUAAUGUAGGCUUGCUACAGAGCAGGAAAUAGGAACUGGAUAAAGUAGAGGAAUCCAAGGAAUUUCAAGUGAUUUGCCUGAAGGAAGAAAAUGACUGUAAGAGCUAGAACAAGAAUGGAGAGGAAUACAGCUCCUGUUCUCAUGCUCCAUCUACUAUACCCACUGAUCCAUGUGCAUUUUCUUACACAUUUUUCUUAUGUAACAUGGAAAGAAUCACAUUAGAGUACAGUAAUUGUACUAAGAUGUACUUUUGAAUGAUUAUUGUUAAUCCUUAAAAACAAUACCGCGGUGUAGUACAGCAUGUUAUUUCAACCUCAUGAAAACAUGUGACUUGAAGUACUGACUGCAGAAUGGAAAAUACAUUUUUCUUUAGGGAAGAACAAUACUUUUGCUUGGAAAGACUCAGAAGGUCAGUUUUGUUU